ACAGUGUGCUAGAAUAUAUUUUUAAAAAACCUAAAGUAUGUGAUUUUACAAGGACUCUCAACAAGGUCUCAAAUUAAUAGUGAAGUUAGCAAAUUAUGGCAAAUCUUUAUAAACUAAGUCUCAAAAAGAAAGUAGUAAAACAGUCAUUUAACUAGACAGAGACUUGAUGAUGAGAUGCCCACAGUCAUGAUGUAAUUAAUUUUUAAGAUUUUAACUUUCUUUGGCUGCUCAGUCUAAAUAUCACAUCAGUUGAUUUUAUAGUUCCCAUUAUUUACAUGCUUGUUUUCUCAGAUUUUGAGAUUCCUAAAAACUAAAUAUAUUUUUAGUGUUCUGGACACGAUAUUUGGAUAUAAGGCACAAGGGUCAAUGAUUUCUUUCCAGCUGUAGAUGUAUUAAACACUGUUGGCAUGACAUCAAGAAAAUUAGUCACAUUUAGCCACAUACUCAGUCAUGUAUGACAUAGAUGUGUUUCCCUCCCCUGAGAAACUGGUUGCUGUAUUCUUAUAAUUGUGUAGUUUGUGUGUAAGUCGUCAGCUCAUGCUCAUUUGUGCACUUGAAGAAUAGUGAUUCAGCACCACUCUGUGCUCAGAACUCUUCCAGGUGAUGGGAGUGAAGCAGUGAACAAACAAACAAAAAUCUGCCCCUCGUCCAACUUCCAUUCUAACGAGGUCUGUAACUGUGCUUUGACAGGGUACCUCAUUUGCCUGUCUACCUCAGGAUUCCUGACCUAACAUGAAUUGGAAUGAUGACCCAAGACUCUCUUAGACAAAUAGCAAAAUGCUUUGGUUGGGUCCCUUAGAUCCCAAGACACAUGAUCCCAAGUAAAGAGAAAA